AUGCCUUAAACUUAUGGGUAAGGAAAAUAACGAUUUGGGGUGAUGCCCGAAUCCUCACUGCUAACAUAAGACGUUUUUUUGAGCGGAUAAAGGUUGCCCCUAAGGUGACCCACUUACUUUGCGAGAUACUGUCCGCCUCCCUU
rnacentral:snRNA from 1 species